CCUGCCACCCUUUCAAGGACCCAAAGUGACAUUUCGGGGAUUUCAGAAAGAGGAAAGGCUUCAUUGCCCCUGAAAUCUUCAGAACAGCAGAACACCGCAACCUCAGAGGAUUGUUCGGGGUCUCCAGUCAUUUGGCAUAACAGGUGUGCCCUUCUGACUUUCCUUACUCUCGAGUCUGA